UUGAUCCUGGCUCAGGACGAACGCUGGCGGCGUGCUUAACACAUGCAAGUCAAUGCAGAAAGUACUUCGGGUAUGAUUAAACUGGCGAACGGGUGAGUAACGUGUGGGUAAUUUGCCUUCGAGCGGGGGAUAGGCCCGGGAAACCGGGAUUAAUACCGCAUAAAGUCAUAAUACGAUGGUGUUGUGAUGAAAGGCGGGGACCUUCGGGCCCGCCACUUGAAGAUAAGCCCGCAUCUGAUUAGUUAGUUGGUAGGGUAAUGGCCUACCAAGACCGCGAUCAGUAGCUGUUCUAAGAGGAAGAUCAGCCACAUUGGGACUGAGAUACGGCCCAGACUCCUACGGGAGGCAGCAGUGAGGAAUUUUGCGCAAUGGGGGAGACCCUGACGCAGCAACGCCGCGUGACCGAUUGAAGCUUUUAGGAGUGUAAAGGUCUGUCGCGAAGGAAGAAAAAGUCCGAGAAUAAUAAGUUCGGUAAUUGACGGUACUUCACAAGCAAGCUCCGGCUAACUUCGUGCCAGCAGCCGCGGUAAUACGAGGGGAGCAAGCGUUGUCCGAAAUAACUGGGCGUAAAGGGUACGUAGGCUUUUUUGUAUGUUUUCGGUGAAAUCCACAGGCUCAACUUGUGGCUUGCCGGAAAAACUGCAGAGAUUGAAUCCGGAAGGGGAAAGCGGAAUUCCUGGUGUAGCGGUGAAAUGCGUAGAUAUCAGGAGGAACACCAGUGGCGAAGGCGGCUUUCUGGUCCGGAAUUGACGCUGAUGUACUAAAGCGUGGGUAGCAAACAGGAUUAGAUACCCUGGUAGUCCCCGNCCUAAACGAUGUAUACUUGAUGUCGGGAUGUUCGGUCGUCUCGGUGUCGUAGCUAACGUGUAAAGUAUACCGCCUGGGGACUACGGUCGCAAGACUGAAACUCAAAGGAAUUGACGGGGGCCCGUACCAGCGGUGGAACAUGUGGUUU
rnacentral:rRNA from 1 species